rnacentral:lncRNA from 1 species
CAUCAUUCACGUCAUUUUAAGGUGACAAAAGGGAGCUCAAGCAAGGGACGUUUUUAAUUUGUCAACACAAACGUCCGCUUGGGGCUGGGCUUACGGAUCGAAAGCUCAGUGCAAUAAUAAAAAUACGUUGUGUUUUCUACAAAUCAAAACAAAUAUUAUAUUGUCACCAUACAAAUAAUUAUAUACAAAGAACUUAUAUGUAGAGUAAAUUUCGACAAGUUUGUGUUGUUUUUAAACGAAUUCCAAACCAGAUAUAUAAUUGCCAAGCACAGGUUUAGAAAAUAUGAUCUUUCAAUUUCUAGGAAAACGAGUUAAAGUUUCAGUUUUUUAUCUAGAAAUCCAAAUUAGAGAUAACUUUUUAUAUUAAGAUUCGUAUACAUUCGUUUCACGUAUACUCGUGUUGCACUCUUUUGUUUGUGGAAAACACAUGCAUGCAAUCACGCAAAUACUUACCUUUUACUUACCUGAUACAUUUUUCCCUUACGCUAGCCAUUUUCAUAAGGCUUGCAUGCAUUAAUCUUUCAGUGCAUAAAGCAACGCUAGCUUUGGCCCAGGUAAGCAUUUCAUCGAAAUUAAAAGUUCUGGCAAGAUAUUCAGCUUUCUUAGAGAAUUGAAAUGCUUCUUCUAGGAAUACCUUUUCCCCUUCAGGCUUGACUUGGGCAUACCGAUAAUAAAGUGUCGACUGUACCAAAUUGAACUGAACCUCACGGUAUCGACUAAGCGCAUAUCCAUCACAAACCAAUUUAUUUAACGCCAUUACGCUGGACUUCGCUGUUUCCAAUUUUGAUUCAUUUGCAUCUUUCUCGAUUACAGUGCCUGACAUAUUAUACCCAAGAUGAAAUGUUGCCAAAAUUAUGUACGCCUUUUGUUCCAUGUCUACUUGUACUCGAGACCUUGGUGCGUGCUUUAAGUGCGCAAGUACCUUCCUAGAAAGUUCAGCCGGUGAUGGUACGUUCUCAUUUCCAGAGUUUUGAUCCAUUAGUAUUGCAGCAAAUGAAAAUAUCGCGGCGGUUACAAGCCCUGGUGGUAAAUGUUCGACUUUUAAUAAAGCAUCAUCCAAGAUCUGCCUAGCAGCCUGAAACCUCGUUUGCACACGCUCUAAAGCUGCUUUCAAAUACAAAUAAAUCAUCUCGAAAAUCAAGAGAUCCUUUGCUUUCGAUAAAAGUUUGUGGUAUUCAACAAGCCGAUCACGUGCUAUGCUAAGACAACCUUUCCGGUAACUUGCUAUCACUCUUUUUGAUAAAACCACUAGCUGUACUUCAACUUCAGGGUAAUCUUCAAAUACCGUUGCAGUUUUUGAAAAAAAAUUCCACUUUCCAUUAUUUAUGGCCGUCAUUAGAACUUCAUCAGCUUUAGUGCAACGACGUUCUGUCGCAGAUGAGCUCCAUUCAAUCCGUUGUACGGCCGCAGGAAUAUCUACACCAUCACGUUGCAAUACUCUCUUCUUCCAAUUAGCAAACGACAUCUUCUCGACUUUCCCCUCCACCAUUUCAUAACAUUCUGGUUCUUCAGUGAACACACCACCUACGCAAGGAGCGAUGUAGAUCACGAUCACAAAGGUUGAUGGGAUAUGGUUGGCGUUUUCAUCUACCACUGGCUCGAAGAAUAUAUCCCAGUCUUCCCCUCGUUUUGGUUGACCGAUAUGCUCCGGCCAGAUCAUCUUGUUGAUAGCUUUCUCGACUUUCUUUAUUAUGUCAUUCUUGUCGUUCUCAUUUGGAAUCAGCUCUCCUUCAAUAAGUCCAUCAUCUCUGAUACCAUAAUAAAUGUGACCUCCGCUAUAGUUGGCAAACGCUGAAACAUAGCAACUGAAUUUAUUACCUUUACCAGUCAUGCGAUCUGCUAGCGUCGUUCGUUUUGACUGACCUGCUUUCACAUUCUUGAAUGCAACCGUUUUGUUCUCCUGGGAACUGCAUUUAUUAUCUUUAAGAAAGAUCUGACAAUGUGAUCCAAGUUGAACUGGUUCUAGAACGACUCUUCUGUUAAUGAUAUCGUUCUUGACUGUUUCUAGUGGUUCCAAAGGUGACACUAGUAUAACUUGUGUUUGACUUGGUAAAUAAAGGUUAUAAUUAGUUAUUAAGGAAGUAGCUUUUUUUAUUAGAACGACUAUGCUUUCUUUAUCUUCUGCGAAAUUCAUUUUGGAAAUGGUUUGAUGUGAUCCAAUGGUAGAUAUCAAAGAUUGUUCCAGUAUUCGAAUCACCAAUGACAUCUGGGAGAAAGGGGAACCUUUUACUGGGACAUCAUUGCUAUCAGUCUCAAUAUGUAACACAACUUUUCCUCCAUUGCUAUUCAGCAUAGCACAGGCAGCAGCUAUAAUUUCUUGCAAUAUUUGUUCCUUGUACUUUUUACUGUUUUCAAAUUUGACUAAGGAUAUGAAAUGAUAAGUCUCAUCAGGACCACCGUUCAUCAUUGUUUGUAAAGUUCAUGCGUCUGCUAACAUAGGUUGUUGAAGUGCCAUGACAUUCGAAACAAGUCCA